AAAAAAUGUUCAAAACUUUUCUUUGAAGAAGUGGAAGUUCUACUUGUCAUUCACAGUUUUGGACACCGAGCGUGUGCUGAGUGUUAUCUACAGCACGGGCACAGAGCAGUAACUGAGAGAGAAGGUUACCAGCCCAGGAGGUGUUUGCCGUCUAGCUGGGAUGAAUCUUCUACCCAUAUUUCCCUCCUAGUUAAACACAUACGCUGUCAGUAAGCAGAUACAAAGCAGCCAAUGUCAGCUCAGGCCUGAGAACAUGUAGGGAUCAGUUGUAGAUCUCUAGAAAUGAUUGGAGAUCCUCGAGCGGAAGACUGGGCUGUCCUACGAGGCUGUGCUGCCUGAGUCCCCAACGGUGCCAGCCUUGUUCCAGGUGGGACUUCUCCUUCUGGGUAUCUGAAUGAUUCUAAUCCCAGUGAAGUUGAUGAGGAAGAUCAGCCGUCACAGACGCCCAUCUCACUUUC
rnacentral:lncRNA from 1 species